rnacentral:rRNA from 1 species
CAAUAGCGUAUAUUAAAGCUGUUGCGGUUAAAAAGCUCGUAGUUGGAUUUCUGUCAAGGACAACUGGUCCGCCCCUCGGGUGAGCACAUAGUUUGGUCUUGGCAUCUUGUUGGAAACUGUUGCUGCACUUGGUUGUGUGGCGCAGUGUCCAGCACUUUCACUUUGAGGAAAUUGGAGUGUUUCAAGCAGGCACAUGCCUUUGGACACAGUAGCAUUGAAUAAUUAGAUUGGGCUUUUGCUCCAACUUGUCGGUUUCUGGAGCUGAGGUGAGAAUUAAUGGGGAUUGUUGGGGGCAUCCGAAUUUAGCCGUCAGAGGUGAAAUUCUUGGAUCUGCUAAAGACGGACAACUGCGAAAGCGUUUGCCCAGGAUGUUUUCAUUGA